AAGAGUGCCAAGCCACUGUCCUAAGCUGAUUCUGAACUAUCCAUGUGCCUGAUUUCCAGGUACAUGAGCGAGAGUUACUUGGAUGGUCUGUUGCUGGCAGCCAAAGGCACCCUAACUGAGGCAGAAACAAUUACAUAUGGAGAGAGUGAAAGGAAAGCCGAACCCCCGAGUGCCAGUGCAGCAAAACAAGGCUGGAGUUGCCCUUCCCCUGGAGGAGAGAGACGCUUUGGGGAAGCCAACCAAAGGCAGUGAGAGACUGAGGACCGUCCCGGAGGAGAAGUACAAAUAACACGUGACAAGCCUGGCUUCCUGGCCUCUGACUCUCUGUUCCAGCAAGACAUCCUUGAAACACUGGCCAUCAUGUGGGUGGACAGCAGCCCCCCCCCGCCUCUCCCCGGUCUGUGAAGCCAGGACAACUGCGGAGAAAUCCCUGGAGGUCAGUGUUUUUCAGUAAUGUGUGAUGUGCAAGGAGGAUGUGUGGCCACUGUUUUCUGAUCUUAGAUCAACUGCCUUAUGGUGUAAGAACAGAGUUCAGAGAACCUCCAGUGGGCCUCGCUAGCCUCUGUGGUGGGGCCUCGCUAACCUCUGUGGAGGUAACAAGGCAUCAUUGAGCCACAUGCUCCAGAGUCGCUAAGAAUGGAUUAGAGAAUGAGCGGGGGCCUCUCUGGUUUGGCUAUUUCUGUAACUGUCUGCCUCUGGUUUGCUUUUCUUCCCCAGGGGGCUCUCGUGGGAGCACCCAUCUGGCUGUGCCUCCUGACACGGGCUGUUGUAGGGCCUCACGGGGAUGCUCACCUCCCUCCCCAGCCCCCGUGUGGAACUCACGCAUACUCACGUGCUACACGCGUGUAACCAGGAGUCGUAUGCAGGUUAUAGUCACUUAAUUAAAAAAAGAACCUUCGCAGGACUCAAGGGCCUUGUGAUUGUUCUACAUUUCAUCUUUGCUUCUGUGUUGAUGGGUUGACUAUUCAAGCUGCAAUAGGGUGCUGGUCGUGUCUUUUAGCAUAAUUAUUAGCUUUAGCAGCUAUUUUCUUUUUCUUCAUACAUAUUUGUCUUUUGUGUUAAUUCUGACCUUAAGUGUCUCCAUUUCAAAUUCUGUACGUUUUCCUCUAUAGUUAAGUUGUUUGUGUUUUUCCACUAGCACAGAGUCCAGAGAAUACAGUAAGGUAUACUAACAGCUCAGCUCUCAGAAACUGACUUUUUAAAUGUUUAUUUAUUUUUGAGAGAGAGAGAGAGAGAGAGAGAGAGAGAGAGAGAAAGAGAGAGAGAGAGAAUCCCAAGCAAGCUCCUAGCUGU
rnacentral:lncRNA from 1 species